CGUGGGUAACCUGCCCAAGAGACUGGGAUAACACCUGGAAACAGAUGCUAAUACCGGAUAACAACACUAGACGCAUGUCUAGAGUUUAAAAGAUGGUUCUGCUAUCACUCUUGGAUGGACCUGCGGUGCAUUAGCUAGUUGGUAAGGUAACGGCUUACCAAGGCAAUGAUGCAUAGCCGAGUUGAGAGACUGAUCGGCCACAUUGGGACUGAGACACGGCCCAGACUCCUACGGAAGGCAGCAG
rnacentral:rRNA from 1 species